rnacentral:rRNA from 1 species
GAUCCUGGCUCAGGACGAACGCUGGCGGCGCGCCUAACACAUGCAAGUCGAACGGAGAUUACAGGCGGAAGUUUUCGGAUGGAAGCUUGUAAACUUAGUGGCGGACGGGUGAGUAACACGUGAGCAACCUGCCUAUCAGAGGGGGAUAACGAUUGGAAACGAUCGCUAAUACCGCAUGACAUAGCGGAAUCGCAUUGGUUUUGCUAUACAAAGUAUUUUAUCGCUGAUAGAUGGGCUCG